rnacentral:rRNA from 1 species
UACGGAGGGGGCAAGCGGUAUCCGGAAUCACUGGGUUUAAAGGGUGCGUAGGCGGCUAAAUAAGUCAGAGGUGAAAGCUUGCAGCUUAACUGCGAAAUUGGCUUUGAUACUGUAUAGCUUGAAAGGAGCUGAGGUCAGCAGAAUGUGGCAUGUAGCGGUGAAAUGCAUAGAUAUGCCAUAGAAUACCAAUUGCGAAGGCAGCUGGCUGGGCUUACUUUGACGCUGAGGCACGAAAGCGUGGGGAUCGAACAGG